UCGAACGGAUCGGUUGCGCUGUGUGUGUAUGGAUAUAUAUAUAAUUAUUUAUAUAUAUUUUUGUCCCGCUAUAUUGAAUGAGAAGAGAAAAACUCUUUUUUUCGGUAUUUUAUUGUACAUCGCUUUAUGAUUUAAUAGAAGUUAAACUUUUGUGACGGAAAAUGGGAUAAAUCAACGAAUGUAAGAAGAAAACCGAUAAUUACAAAACCAAUCGAAAAACAUUUUUAAAAAAACAAUUAACACCAAAUGUAUUGGAGGUACAUUGCGUUUAAUGAUCGCAUUAAAUAAAAACCGCAUCAACAUCAAUCAAAA